rnacentral:lncRNA from 1 species
AAGAAAAUAUUAAAGCUACAACUUCACACCCUAUGUGUUUCUUUUGACCACUUGGGGUUCAUAAUUAAUUAAAAGAAAUCGCUUCUUUUGUACAAAUUUUAAAAGAAGAAGUGAUUAAAUAUAAAGUUUAGAGCUCAAAUGCAAAGUCUUCAUUGACAUGUAGCCAACUAAUAUUGCAAAUUUAUUUACAAUUUUUUACGACAACAGAAAAAAAGGAGCUAGCGUUUCGAAUUAUUGCAAUAGGAAAUAUCUCCUAGAAAACAAGAAAUUUUCGGCGAAGGUGUGUUCAGUUUUUCGGUUUGCAAUCACAUAGAAAAAGUUAGAAUAAGAGUGGGAUCGAAAACUUGAAGCAAUUGCAUGACCACUUUUAGGCAGUGCAUUCGCAAUCAAAAUAAUUAGAAAUAUUGCUUGAUUACUUCACCGGGCUUAACAAGUGAGUGACAUUUUAACUACCUAAUAAUGAUACAAAAGUGACUCAAAUGAGAAAGUUAAAUAUACAUAAGUCACAAAUUUGCAUUAAUAAAUAUACCCAUGACAAAAAAAUUAUAAAAACAUCAGUAUAGCUCAUCUCAAUAUUUGAUUCGAAUUCAGACAGACAUAUAUUAUUAUGAAAUUAAACGUCAAAUAAGCAUCCAUUAAUUAGUCGCACUUAUUAUCAGAAUUCAGAAAGUAUGUUCAUCGUGCGGCAAAAUAACAAUAUACAAGUCUCAUAGUGAACUAGCAAAAGCAGUAAUGAUCCCACUGUACAUUAAAACUUUUUGUGGAUGAAGGAAAAUAAAUAAAUCGUAUUAGAGCACAAAAUAACAGAACAUGCUCAAGAUUAUUCAAUUGAAUUAUUUGAUAUACAUCAAUAUGCUGGAUAAGGCAUAGCAUAUUUAUGCCAGUUAGUAGAUGACUACUUCUAUCGAUGUUGUUGAAUUUAAUCAAAAUGUUAUAAGUUGGCAGAAAUUUACACCAUGAGCUGAACUUGAAACCAAAUUUUUUUUUUUUUUUUUGGCAGAUAUAUUGAAGAUCCAAACAUGCUUCUAUUCUGACUAUAAUACCCCACUUCCCAUGUAUUAUUACUAGCUUUGAGCUUUCCCCUCACUAUUCCACUCAAUAAUGUUUGUUCCGUUUUGCCAGCAGAACCAUAGACGAAAGGUAAAGGCAAAGCAACUUCUUUAACCAGCAGACUACCAUUUCUCUUUCAAUGUAAGCAUCUCAAAAUGAAAAAAAAAAAAGAAAAAGAAAAAAGAAAAAAACAACUCACAUAUGCUUUUUUAUAUAUAAGUGGAGUCCUCUUUUAUCACGUAAGCUACGAGCCUCAGAAAUAAAUUUCAAUAAAGAAAAUAUGAUCCAACAACGGUGGUAGUGGCACCCCCCACUGUAAGUAGAAUUAUAUUAAGUUAAAAUUUUAACUGAUAUGUAGUCCUACUCUGUUAGAAAGAGUAAAAAUAGAUAUUUCAAAUUUUUAUCUUAAAUUUUAUCCUAAAUAUGUAUCAUUAAUUGAGCGGUGGGUAGUU